AUUGAACGCUGGCGGCAGGCCUAACACAUGCAAGUCGAGCGGAGCGGCGGACGGGUGAGUAAUGCCUAGGAAUCUGCCUGGUAGUGGGGGAUAACGUCCGGAAACGGGCGCUAAUACCGCAUACUAUCAGAUGAGCCUAGGUCGGAUUAGCUUGUUGGUGGGGUAAAGGCCUACCAAGGCGACGAUCCGUAACUGGUCUGAGAGGAUGAUCAGUCAAAACGGAACCUAGACACGGUCCAGAACCCUACGGGAGGCAUCCGUGGGGAAUAUUGGAAAAUGGGAGAAAGCCUUGUUCAGCCCAGCCGAGGGGGGUAAGAAGGGCUUUGGAUUGUAAAGGCAUUUAAGUUGGGAGGAGGUACCAACAGAAUAAGCACCGGCUAACUUCGUGCCAGCAGCCGCGGUAAUAC
rnacentral:rRNA from 1 species